CUUGUACAUGCCAGAUAAUCACUGAGUUCUACUCUCAACCAACAAAAGAACAUUCUGACCUCCACUCUAAGUGAAGCUGGGAACGGGGCUCGAAACAGCCUGCUGGUCUCGAUUCCUGGAGGAAAGAGAAGGUGUUGCUGAAAAAACUGUCUCACCAGCGCCCCCACUCCAUGACCCUCCACUCAGGAAGUGGCAAAGCAUGCAUAGCACUGUUACCCCACCCAGUUCUUCAUUUCCCCAACAAGUCAGAAAUGUUUUCUCCAUUGUGGUCAGGUUUCCCUGAGAAGGCUCAGGAAGAACUGCAAGGGGGAAGGACAGCCAAGGACAUCAAAGGUUCCUGUUAUAGACCAUGUGGUUCUUUAAAUGAUGCUGCGUCUUUUCUUAUGGGCGGGAAGGCAUGAAGAGCACUUCCUCCUCUUCUAGAGGGACUGGAUUGCAUUCUCCACACUCAAGUCCAGCAGCUCCCAACCACCAGAGAGAUCUGAUGCCUCUGGCCGCUUGGCCCCUGUACUCAUCUGAAGCAACCAAAAAUGAAGUCUCUGGAGUCUGGUGUGUAAUCCCAGUGAGUUUGGAGGCUAAAACAGAAGGAUUGCAAUGAAUUCCAGGGCAGCUUGUGCUGUUGGGUCUAACUCUGUCUCAAAAUACAAAAAAGCAAGGGCUGGAGAGAUGGCUGGACAGCUAAAGUGCCUGCCAGGCAAGUGUGAGGCCCUGCACUUGGACACCAAACAUUGAUGGAAUCCUGGAUCCUGAUCACUCGCCAGACAACCUUGCUAAAUGGUGAGCUCCCAGUUCAGUGAGACUAUGUCUCACUAAUCAGGUAGAAAGGGGAGCUGGAGAGAUGGCUCAGCAGUGAAGAGCACGUGUUGCUCUUGCAGAGGACGCAGGUUUGACUUCCAGUAUCCACAUAAUGGCUCACAAAUGACUGUAAUUCCCAUCUAAGGGGUAUCCAAUGCCCUCUUCUGGCCUCCCAUGCACUUACGGAUAUGCAGUCAAAACACUCAUAUACAUAGAAUCUUACAAAAAUGAUGUGCAGAUGCAUCAAAGAAGACACAUUGAUCUCUGGCCUCCACGUGCAUGUGCGCACACGUCAAUGUUUGCCGCAACACAUCUUCAUGAACACACACACACACACACACACACACACACACACACACACACACACCACACCACAAACAAAACAAAUGUCCAUUUUAGCAGGUAAGCCAAAGCUCUAAAUGUAUUCUUUAUCCUAAACAUGUGUCUAAACUUUGCAUUCUCUUUCAUGACAUAUCUGUAUUUGUUUCAAUAGUGAAAUGUUUUUUAAAUUUCUUAUAUUAGACUAAAAUUGACAUUUCAAGAAAGCAUAUUGCGUUCAUCCUGUGGCGUCACAAAACCCCUUGGCCCCCUGCCAUUGAUCCCAAGGUGUAUAUGUGCCCCAGUUUAAAAGUCCAGGAAGCGAUGACUAAGAUUCUUUUCAGCACUAACACUCUCCUCUGAUGUUCUGGAAUGCAUGUGCUAUCCUUGGUAAUUGCUCCACAGGGUGCUGGGGGAAGUUAUGUAUUGGGACAAGAUCUCAUGUAUGCAAGACUGGUCUUGAACUCAUGAUCCUCCUGACUCAGCUUCCCUGGAGCUAGGAAUACAAGCAUGAAUCACCAUGCCUAGCUCUUUUUACUAUUUUUGCUGUGCUGAGGAUUGAACCCACAGCCUUGUGCAUACUACCUAAACACUCUACUACUGAGCUGCACCUACAAUCCUUAGAUUUCAUAUUCUAACUAAUUAUGCAAAAAGAAAGGAACUCCAAAGUCAUGUAUAGUGGUAUAACUCCGAAAUCCCAGCACUGGAGAAGUGGUCAGGAGGAUCAUGAGUUCAAAACCAGCCUGGGCUACAUAGUGAGACACUGAUUCAACCAAACCAAAUAAUAACAAAAUAUCUUCUCAUAAUUACAGGAACAGUGGCUUUAUUUCUAGAAGAGGCAUUUUCAGUGUGUCUUUGCUGCCCUUUGAAGUAUAGAGCUCAGCUAUUUUCUAAGCACCCUCUCUGAAAGGUCAAGUAGGAUUGGUAUGGGAAUCCAUAUGCCGCCUCAAGUAGCUCACAUAUAACAGGAGAGGUACAGAGUUUGACCGGCUUAAAGUGAUCAGUUAUUAGUGCUGCAGAAGGUAGAGAAGCAGGAGCCUGAUAUAUUUCCUCGAGGAUGUGUAAGUCGGGUUGCACACAGACUUCAAAUCCUCAUGCUCCAGCCUCCGAGCUGGGUCUGCACAUGCACACCACUAUCUGGCCUCCCCCGACUGCUACAUUGCACAUGGAGCCUGGGGCAUCACGCCAGCUAGGUAACCACACCUCCAGCCCUCUUUAUACUCAACUGCCCCUCUCUCUUUUAGGGAGUAGAAAAUCCCUGCAACAAAGUAUAACAACCCUUAAAAGGGGAUUUGGGGGGAAA